GUAGGUCCCGAGCGUUGUCCGGAUUUAUUGGGCGUAAAGCGAGCGCAGGCAGUUUGAUAAGUCUGAAGUUAAAGGCUGUGGCUCAACCAUAGUUCGCUUUGGAAACUGUCAAACUUGAGUGCAGAAGGGGAGAGUGGAAUUCCAUGUGUAGCGGUGAAAUUCGUAGAUAUUCGGAAGAACACCAGUGGCGAAGGCGACUCACUGGACACAUAUUGACGCUGAGGUGCGAAAGCGUGGGGAGCAACCAGGAUUAGAUACCCUGGUAGUCCACGCCGUAAACUAUGAGUGCUAGGUGUUGGAUCCUUUCCGGGAUUCAGUGCCGAAGCUAACGCAUUAAGCACUCCGCCUGGGGAGUACGACCGCAAGGUUG
rnacentral:rRNA from 1 species